UGAUUUCAUAGUAUUCGAUUAAAAUAUGGAAACAUACACCCUGAACCUGCAUGCUAAGAUCAAAAUGUUGGGGUUUUCAUUAACACCAUAUUUAUUUUCCUUCUUCCACAGAACAAAGACAAACCACAGGUUUUUAUUACCUGAGAACAUUCUGUAUGUCAAUGACUACAUCACAUACUAUACAGAUCCCAGAGCUGUGCAUGUUCACAGCAACUAAGUGCUACCACCACCACUACACAAAAAAAGGAAACUGAGGCUUACACAGACUAAGAUCUGAAAGACCACAUAAGCUAACAAGGACCAAAGGCUCACGACACAGGUGGUACUCAUUCUGUUUGUUUAGUACUGAGUUGUGCUAAGUUUUAAGAUGAUGAGGGAGACUAAUCCCAUCAAAGAUGCUUGCUGGUAGAAGAAAGACAUACAGAUAAAACAGGGUAAAAACAAUCCAAGACAAGUACAGACUUUAGUCAUGGCAAUGAGGAUGGCAUGACGAAUAUACAUGCACAUGUAUAUAUCAUAUGUAUAUAUAUAUGCGGAGUAAAAUAAUCAUAUUUGUUAAAUAGCAACAGUGAGUGGAAAAUGAACACCAAAUAUAAAAAGCACACCUCUAUGGCAAUCUAAAACUGAAUUAUAUACACACAGAGGGGCUCAAACCAAGUUUCUUCCUGAUGGAAUGUCUACAAUGCAAGGGUUUUCUAGAUCAGGCACACCCAGAGCUUAGAGAUCCAAGAUGGUCUCCCAAAGCUCUGCAACUUAAAGAUGAUGCCAAAUAUGUAUAAGCUACUCUUACAUACCUAGCUAUGUCACUUGAAAGCAAGGAAUCAGUUACUUAACCACAUAAGCCAAGAGACAUGGGUUCAAACCCUUUGCUUUGCCAUUUGAAAUGUUC